ACAAAAUCAAAUCCUUGUCCACUUUGCCAGUCACCACCUUCUAAGCCGUUUUAUUUUGUGUAUCAUGUGAUAUGCAAAUGAAGGUCAUAACCCUUGUGGAGGACGACUUCCGAGUCUUCUGUUGCUGAGUGUUAACAGGCACAGUAUUUGAAGUGUUGUUGAAGUGACAAGGGAAUACAUUUUUGAGUAUUAGGCCCUAGUAACCGACUAGGAGUCACUUACCUCAAUAGGAACUUGCUAACCAAGACAAGAAAUUGUGGUCGCAGAUAUUUUCUUGAAUCAGCGGAAAAGGGCGUCUGUUUUAUUAUCGUUAAGUUUAAGUUUGUUCUGUGUCAUCCAUUUUGAAAAGUCAAAUAAAACUUUCUGGGUGAACAUUAAAAUACCACGUUUGUCUGUAAUCUUGUUUAUUUACAAGAUCUAAUCUGACACAUUUCUCACCACUCAAGUUGCAGUUAGAUGAUGCUUGACUGCAAAAUUAGAAUUUUACAAAUCUACAGCUGAACAAUAAAAAUGAACUAUAUUUAAAAUGCAACUAAAAGCUAAUUUAACAUUAUUAGGAUCAUAAUUAAAGCCGAUUUUAAUGCUCUUUAUAUAGUAACUCCUUGGCAUAAUAAAACACUUUAAAAAAUAACAAAAUAAAGCAUUACCAGUUUAUCUCUCUCAAGUAUUUAAGCAGAUGAUGAAAUAAACUUGAGACUCAUUGUGUCUCUUGGAUUAUUUGUACCCAUACUAAUUGCCUCUGCUUGCAGCCAUCUUGAUAAUCAAGUGGGACAAGCAACUCAAAGUAUGCUUACUGCUAUACUUAUGAAAAAGAUCAAAUCCUAAAAGCCUUUAGGGUAUUUUUUAAAGACUCUUGGACCAUUUGGAUCUUUAAUGGUGGAAAAAUUUCCCCAUACUAAAAACAAUUAUAACGAAAACUUUGAUUUUUCUGUGAGCUAUGGCUAACAAUAAGGUUAUCACUUGAAAAUUAAGUCAUACAAAAGACUGCAAGGUUGCUUAGCAUCUAUGGCAGGAAAUAAAGGCAGAUUUUCUAUGUUGUAAUGAUAACAUGUUUAUCAAGUAACUUCUGGUAAAAUUGUACAGUUGAGAAAAGUGUUGUUUUUUUUAAAAUCUUUAACUGAAUUUGUUAAACUGUUAAAGCUGCAUACUGCUUUUGAGUUGUAUCAUUUACAAUAUCAAUUCACAUAGUGGGAUCUAAAAUAUAAUACAGCUUUAAAGCUUCUGAUCACAUUUUUUGGAGGAUAACUAUCUUCUUACAACUGUUAAAAAAAAACCAGUUCUGCUAAAAAAGAAAAAAAAAAGGACAUUGCUGGCAUCAACUGUAUGCUAAGGACAAAGAAAUAUGAUUACUUGCACAUUUCAAAAUAACUGUGAUCGAUAUUUUUGAUACCUUCUGCUGCAAUCAAAGAAGCAACCAGUGAAUGUUUUCAAAAUGCUGUGACAUUUUGUUUAGAAUAUUUACCUUCAGAGCCUCUAAAGUAUCUUGGAUAUCCAUCUAGUGCUGUUCGAUUAUUAACAAUGAAGUCACACAAAAAGGGAAUCAGAUGGAAGGAAAUAAGACCAGUUGAUCAUUGCAAUCUCAGGUAUCUUUGUAUUUGCAACUGGUGUCUACUGUAACCAUGUCGACAACAUUAAAUAUGUUAAAAUCUGUUUCAAAACACAUAUUUAAAAAAAAAAAAUUGAAGUACACAUAUGAAUAUGUAUAAGCAAUGGAUGAAACACGUGACAAAUAUAUUCACAGAUUUAUUAUAUACACCCAUAACAAAAUCUAUUUAUAUCAACAUUAAUAAGUAUUGUGCACCCUAAAUGACCAGAACAAGAAGUACCUGUUUCAAGUCUCAGACUGGAAAAUAAAACCCUAAAUCAAGGCAGUAAAGAGAUGCGAUGAUGGCGAUAAUCAUCAUCAUGAAUAAAUAUUAUAGUGAGAAACAAUAACAGGCUUUGCUGAACCUUAAAAAUGAACAUUUUCCCUUUAAAAUGUAAAACUUUAAAUGGUAGCAAUGCAUAGAAUAACAACAGUUUGACAUAAACCUGUAGAAUGUAAAGUUAAAGAGAAAAAAUUUUUAAAUUUUCCUUUCAACUGUCCUGACUCUAUUUGGGUGCUUGAGUUUAGUUGGAGUCUAAAAAUAGGCAUCACUCACUGAUGAAUGAUUAUGGGUAAGUAACGUGAAACUAUAGUUGCUUCAUCAUACGAAAUGUACUUAAUUUGCUUGGUGUGUUAAGUUCAGAAUUUAUUUCAAUCAAUAUCACAGAUCUUCAAGUGGUUGUACAAGAUGUCGGUCUUAAAAAUACUAACAGGUUGAAACUGUUGGGUAGCUAAGCAGCCUUCCGAGUGUUUUGUUUUAGUAAUUGAAACAUCAGCAUCUUUAAGAAGAAGCUACCAACAAAAUAAUGCUAAAAUAGUACACUUUCUUAAGAAACAAACACUAGCUUUAAUGUCCUGAUCAGCAUGAACCUACAUGACCUGAUACAUGUUUAAAACACCCAUAUGUGUGCAUGCAAGAUGUUAAAAAUAAAAAUAACUAGAAUGAAUUUAGCAGCAGCAAUGUUUUAGUAACAAUAUAUUUUACCUAAAGAUGCACAUGCAUUCUCAUAAGUGUUAUGUAAUACAUAUUUACAGUAGGCCUACUCACUAAUGCUCAUUAAAAUCUGCUAUAUCAAUGCAUAAAUUUUCUUAUGAGGUUAUGAGUUAAAAAUGGAAGUUCAGUUGGCUAACAAUAAUUCAUGAUACAUUUACCAAUAAUGAUAAAACAUUAGCAAAACGUUAUUGAGCAAUAAUCUGAAGGUAAUAUUAAGUAGGUAAGCAGCUACAUAAAGAACAACCUUCCUAUAUCUGUACGACAAAUAAAGCAAAAACCAGUAAUAUGAAACCCUAAAGUACCCUAAACCUCAGCUGGGGUACUGUGGGGAGUCUAGCCCAGGACAGGCAAAAGUGGAGGACCUUUGUCGCUGCCCUACGUGCCGACCGGCAUAACAGGCAAUAAUCUAAUCUAAUCAGUAAUAUGAAAGAUAAGCCCAGAUAAAGACUCAACAAAAAGGAUGACAGAAAACUAAAAUAGGGAAGAAAUGAUAUAAAACAAGAUGUAAAAUAGAAAGAAGUCUACUUCUUCAUUAUUGAUACCACCUUAUAAAUUAUUGUCAUAGACCUUUGGACACUUGAUUUUCCUGGUUCUGCUGACAUACAGAUAUAGCUCACUAAAAUAUCACACUACUUUCAAAAUAGUCAAAGGAUAAUGAGCAGGGACCUACUUGCAUAAAUGUUUGCAUCACCUUCUCAAUCUACCCACACAGAUGCUUAUAAAACAUAACCAUGCACAAUGUUAGGGCUUUUUCUUCAGGCUAUAACUUGAUUGAUGGUGCAAACAUACGAGGUUAUCCUUAUGGUAUUGUACUUGAUGGUCUGUAUAGAUUUGCUUACAAUCUCUAACCCUAAACCUCUUAAGAAAUAUCUGGCAUAAUCAAGCAUACUCCUCACUCCUUAGUUCUUCAUCUUCAUACAUGUUUGCCAUGGUGUCUGUUGGCUGAUGCUUACUCAUAUCUCAUAUCGUUGACCGUCAUUCAUUUGUAGUCUUUUGUGUGAAGCCCAUUGAGCUUGCAUCCACAUGAGAAAAUGCACUUUACACAUUAAAUUAUGGUCUCUGCAAUAGCCAAGUGGCACCAAUAUCUUCUUUAUGAUACUUUGCUAGUACUAGAAACAGUACAGUAUUUGAAGACUGUUUCCACAAGUGAUGAUCUACCAGCAAGGGGCACAACUGGUAAAACAAAACACAAAAAAAGGUUAACUACAAAAGGCAACCUUAGUAUUGAUGUAAUUGGUGUUUUUAUUAAAAUAUUUUGAGAAACUUGGAGGUAUGUUGGCCAAAUUAGCUGGUACUAUUUGGGGUGGCCUUUGUAUUAUCAUGUGGCAAUCCUUAUAUAUAUUGUGAGCUGACUGCCUUAUAUCUCUAAAAUCUGCAACAAUUAAAACAUAAAAGAAAUUUCUUGUGUGUACAUCAUCAGUCACCCUUAGGAACAUCAGGGUUCAUGCAGAGAUUAGCAAACAAAAUUCUGGAGGUUGUUUUCCCACUAAAUCCUCUUUCACAUUUAUAGGCCUAUUUAUAGUUGCCCAGAAAAUGUAAAUCCCAAAAGCGCUAGCGCAGAUGUGAAAAUUAUUGUGUUGUUGAAUCUACAGGAAAACCUAUAGUAACGGAAUAAGUGUUCAUGUGUUCCCAAAGAAUUCCCCGUUGAGAUGACAAUAGAUCAACUUCAUUCGUGUGUGUAGAGCUUACUUCACUGCACUUACACAGUACUCUGUAUGUGAACGCCACUUCGUUCCUGAAUGUUUCCCAGUAAUGUACACACUGAAGAAGCAAGAGGGUUUUGAAGUACCACAAGAGUAUCUUCCAGAAUCCAAGCCUACUAUUCAUAAGCAUGCUUUUUCUUGUCCAACAACACAGAGUAACUGCAUGAACACAUAAAUGAUCACUGGCGAUAUAACAUAUUGUUAGUAAUAUGCACAGUGUUCCCAAAAAUAUAUUUAUGCUUUUCCAUAUUUUAAAAAACUUGUGCAGGCAAAAACUCGCUUUGUAUUUUUGUUAUUUAUGCUAACAACUGUAUAAACAAAUAUGCCCAUAUAAACAUGUAAAUCAGUCCCAAUGGUAGAUUUGGGGAUAUCACGACAGUACAUAACAUAAACUGUAAUGGUCACCUGCAGCUUGCAAAAUGUGACAAACACGAGUAAUGCUCAUCAUGUGGUAUUCUUCAUCGUCUGCUGCUUGAGCAUUUGGGUUUGGGGUUUUGAAUCUUCACAAUACGCAGGUUCCAACAUGUACAGCAGCUGUUCUUAACCUUUUACUUGUGACGCCCCCCCUGACGAACAAAGGUACGUCCGCGCGCCCCCCUUAGCCAGCAAUGUAAGCUAAUUUCACUAAUACCAGUAUAAGAAACUUAAAAAAAAUGACCACCUUCGCGACCCCCUUGUAAGCACGUCGCGCCCCCCCCAGGUUGAGAACCGCUGAUGUACGGUUUAAUAUCUCCAAGGAUUAUGAAGUGUUUCAUACUCGUCUUCACUGCUAGAGCACAAUAAAUGAAGACCGUGUGAUAAACCCAAUGCAUUGCUCCAUCUUCUAGCCAUUAUACAUUUACCAAGAUGCAGUCUGACCACCACCAGCUGCGAUGUCGCACAUUAUUCAUGCGAAGGAGUAAAAAUUUGCAGGAUUUGCUGACUAGAUGCAAAUUGCUAACUUUGAAAAUAUAUAAUAAACUACUGUUUCAGGCACUGAAAUUUAUAAAAAGUAUUUAUCUCUACCUACCGUAAUCUGUUUUUAACUCUGCCCAAUUAGGUAAGUCUUUAUACUUAGCUUCACUCAUGGAAGAAAUAUUCAAAGACACUGAAAAAUACACACUGCAUUUUUGUCUGUUUAGUCCUACAAUAUCCAGAUUUUGUAAUCUUUUUCUUUUAAGCAUCGAUGUCAGAAACUGCCCUUUCCAGGCAUGCAAAUUGAACUUCUUCCUGCAUGGGUGAGAGCCAAAAUAUUUCCCAGGGAUGAUGUGUGGUAAAAAAAAUCUGAGGAAUUUUCAAUUAACCAAAUUUAGCAUCUUGAUAAUAAAUUGUACUUUUAGGUUACAAGUAUAAAUUUUUGUGAUAAAUAAUGAACCAUAUUGAGUAUUCAGACUGAUUUAAAGCAUAUGCAUAAAUUAAAAUAUUUAUUUAAACAAUUAUACUCAAAGAAACAGUGAUCACUACCUUCAUCAUAACAUUAUCUAACUGUACUAAAACAUUCUUCAUGUAGUUCCCCCCCCCCCCUAAUUCUUACAAAGUUUAGUUUCUCAUGCUUCCUCACUGCCCAUUCUCACCCCUAAUUAUUCAGAAUUUUAUUUUUUAACUAACCCAGGUCAGUCUUGAGAUUUUUUUUUAUUGGGAUUCAGAAGUUCCAUUCAUGUCUAUGGCAGGAAAGACUUGAUCUGAGGAAUAGAGGUGAGAAUCUCAUGUGGUGCUGGUUACCUUGGUAGUCAUGCUACGCCAAUAGCUUCAAUCUGAUCUGGCAAGUACCCUAACUUCCUUCAAGUGAAACCCAUUCUUUUGUGCAGGAGGGUGAAGUCUGGCCUUUAAAAAAUGCAAUAGUUAUCACUCUUAGAUCCUGAGAAGACUUGUUUUUUAUGCCUUUUUGAAAUGUGGAGCACGAAAAGAACACAUUUUACACACAAUAAAGCAUGAAUAAACAUUCCAUUUUCAAUAAAGUUCUUGCCCAAUUUAUAGGGAUCCAUUUGCUAAAAUACUUUUAAAUCAUUUUGCCCACUUUCAAAUCUACACAUUUUUUUCAUCAGCACCUAUAAUAACCAUACACAUCCCGUUUAAUAGACAAUACAAAGAAAACUAAGAAUGCAUAAUCUGAGGUGAUGUCAAUGGCAAAAUUCCCAACUUUUGUUAUGGUAUGUUUAAACCCUUUCCAGGGCCGGUAUUAUUUGGACAGAACCACUUUUCCUGAUUUUUCUCCUGACAUUUCCAAUACUACUUUCCAGCCAAUGCAUCAAAAAAAACCCCCCCCCCCAAAAAAAAAAAGUUCUUCACAGUAAAACACAAAAUUAUUUUACAGUCUACAGCCUAGUAACUUUAACUGAUACAAUCAUAGUCUACAAUAUGCCCAUUUUCUGCAGCCAUCAAAGGCUGAUACUUUACCUGCUGUCGUUCGGUCAACACUGGCUGAACAGACUUUACCGUUUUCCUUUUUUGUACUGACACUAGCCACGUAGUUUGUGGGACAUGCUCUAAACCAGAGCAAUGAUUCAUAUUAUUGCUUCUACUUAAGACACUGCACAUACAAGCACAGUGCACAAAUUUAUGAUCCCAUAAGUUUUCUGCAUAUCUGUUUACAUAUGCAAGAAAGUGUCAUGUAGUUGAAAUACUGCACACUGAGAACCAAAAUCUGAUCAAAACAGAUGUACUACCCAAAAGAGCUUUUCAUUAAACAGAUGAUACACAACCAACCAAAAGAGUCCUGGAAGAUCAGAUCAAAAAGAACUGGUAAGCAGAAACUGACAAUGUCAAAAAACAAAAAUAUGAUGCAAUUUUAACGAACAUUCAAUAAAUAUUACAUAAUCAAACUACUGUAAUGUCUUCCCAUUUAUUAACUAAAUAUAAUGAAAAGAAGCAUGACUUGCGAACAGAUCUGUUUAUUCAUCAAGCUUGCAAAAGUGUAAUAGCAUCUGUAUUACUGCUGCCCACCACUUUACAAGCAUGCGUCUAUAGUAGUCACACUGGAUGGCUUUUGUGAGCAUCUAUACAUGUUCAUUAGCUGUUAUAUUUGGCUAUAAUAAUUAAUUUUAUAGAAAUGAACUGCCACAGGGCAACUCACUGAGUUAAUGACUGUUUUGUGUUUACUAGCUACAACAACUAUUCACAAAUAAAUGCAAGACUUUGUACAUAAUGAUGUAAUCAAUUAGUGAUGUAACAUUACAGCAACAACAUAUAUCUAAGCCAAUAUGAGGGGAUGGACUUUCCAAAAUAGCAAAUCAUAGCCCGUCAUUGUUAUUCACCAUGAACCCCAACACCCCAGUAUGAUAGUAAGAGAAAUAACAACCCCCUAAAAGACUGUAAUAAGAGAACUUCUGGUUAUUGCUGGUAUUAAUGGUAAUGACAGGCACUGCAACAGGAUUGGAAACCAACACUAACAUGCAGAUCAUGCUGAUGUGUUUAUGAGUGAAAUGACUUAGCAUGCUGUUCAAGUCUGUUAUCAUCACAAAUAAAAAAGCUGUGCCCUUUUGAAUGAACAAUAAUGUGAAAGGACAAAAAGAUGGGGAAUUGAUUUUUCAUGCCAUCUCCUACCAAUGCUAAAUUAUCAAGAAAAAGCAGCAGGCUUAGUAAAUAGGUGCCAUGUGAUGAGAAAAGACAUGGUGAUAUUAUAUCAGAAUCCAGGGUAGCAAGUGCUUGCUCUAUUGAUGACAAGCACUUAAACAUCGCCGCUGAGACUAUACAAAGCUAAAACAAAGCUACUAAUUACUGUAGCUAAUAAUUUUAUAGAUUAUUCCUGCAGAUGCAAAACUAACAGUGCUAAUGAGUCUGCAGCAUAUAGUUAUCUGCAAUAAUUGGCUAUAACAUUUAAAGAUGACUUAUUCA